rnacentral:tRNA from 1 species
GGCUUUAUACUUUAUUAUAAGAAGAAUUAGUUUGCAACUAAAAAGAAGAUAGAUUGUCUUAAGGCCA